AAGAGCGCUUUCCCAAGCACCAGUACCUGAGGCAUAAACAUGAAGAUCAACAUACAACGUUGUUGUCGUUGUUGUUGUUCUGGUGAGUGUUUUCAAAGGGAAGGAAUAGCAGGAGAACGAUAAUCCUCAUUGUUUCGGUUCAUUGCCCGCAGAACGGGUUCGGGUAUGUUCACCGGCCCCGGGACAAAGAGAUGGUUUUUUCCAGGUGCGUAAACAUAAUCCAUUUUUCCUUCUCAAAGUUCUCUCCCUUAUCAGCUACAGAAUAGUAGAGAAGUUACUCUUUUGAGAGUUGGAAAUGGAUUGUCAUUUUAAAUUACAAAUUUUGUCUCCAAAGCUUAAAAGACUUUUGGUCUUGGUUCUAACUUAUCAAAAAGCUUCAAUGUUUAUAUAUUGGAAUCAAAAUCACAUAUAUUGUAAUUUA